rnacentral:rRNA from 1 species
AUUGAACGCUGGCGGCAGGCCUAACACAUGCAAGUCGAACGUGUGGCGGGCGUGUGUGUCAUGUCUGUGACACUGCCUGAUGGUGGGGGCUAACUACUGGAACCGGUACCUAAUCCCCCAUACCCUCGCUUGUGCCCAGAUGUGAUUAGCUAUUAGGUGGGGUAAAGGCUAACCCGGACGACGAUCCCUAGCUGGUCGGAGAGGAGGACAGGCAACACGGGAACUGAGACACGGUCAAGACUCGUACGGGAGGCAGCAGUGGGGAAUAUUGCACAAUGGGCGCAAGCCGGAUGCAGCCAUGCCGCGUGUAUGAAGAAGGCCUUCGGGUUGUAAAGUACGUUCAGCGGGGAGGCGUUACCCGCAGAAGAAGCACCGGCUAACUACGUGCCAGCAGCCGCGGUAAUAC